AUUGAACGCUGGCGGCAUGCUUUACACAUGCAAGUCGAACGGUAACAGGCCUUCGGGUGCUGACGAGUGGCGAACGGGUGAGUAAUGCAUCGGAACGUACCCAGAGGUGGGGGAUAACGCAGCGAAAGCUGUGCUAAUACCGCAUGUGAUCUGAGGAUGAAAGCGGGGGACCGAGCAGCAAGUUUUGGCCUCGCGCCUUUGGAGCGGCCGAUGUCGGAUUAGCUAGUUGGUGGGGUAAAGGCCUACCAAGGCGACGAUCCGUAGCUGGUCUGAGAGGACGACCAGCCACACUGGGACUGAGACACGGCCCAGACUCCUACGGGAGGCAGCAGUGGGGAAUUUUGGACAAUGGGCGAAAGCCUGAUCCAGCAAUGCCGCGUGCGGGAAGAAGGCCUUCGGGUUGUAAACCGCUUUUGGCAGGAACGAAACGGUGUCCGCUAAUACCGGGCGCUAAUGACGGUACCUGCAGAAUAAGCACCGGCUAACUACGUG
rnacentral:rRNA from 1 species